GUUAUUUAUUAGGUUGUUCUUAAUGAGCGUGAGGUCUAUCCCGGAGAUGAGUUUUCUGCAGCUUUGGCUGAUUUAAUGAAGCUUGGUGACAAGGUUAUGCCUCGCUCAGAACAGGUUGGUAAUAAGCUCGAGAGCUAUCCCACACAUUACUCAAUAGAUGAGGGGUGUAAUUCUUUCUCCAUGAU